UACGUAGGGACCAAGCGUUGUUCGGAUUUACUGGGCGUAAAGGGCGCGUAGGCGGUUUGUCAAGUCAGUUGUGAAAUCUCCGAGCUUAACUCGGAACGGUCAACUGAUACUGUCAAACUAGAGUACAGAAGGGGCAAUCGGAAUUCUUGGUGGAGCGGUGAAAUGCGUUGAUAUCAGAAGGAACGCCGGUGGCGAAAGCGCUCGACUGGACCUCUUCUGACGCUGAGGCGCGAAAGCUAGGGGAGCAAACGGG
rnacentral:rRNA from 1 species